ACGUCCCCUGCAAGCCGCCUCAGUCGUCGGCCCAAGCGCGCUGUCGCCUUGGCCGCGGUCGGUUUCCUGUGCUGCAUACCCAUCGCGAAGGCAUUCUACCGUCCCGAACGCCCCGUCUCCGCCUUGUGCCGCGCCCCUCUCUCGGGGUUGCGGCGCGGGGCGGACCUCGAAGCACACGCUGUGUCCCACGUCCCGCGCACGCCCGCACGUGCUCGGGUUGUUGGCCCACGGCGUCGUCGCCCGAUCUCUCGGAUGCGGAACACACUGUGGGCAUGAGGCCGUCGGCCUCCGUCCGUCCCGAAAAACAAGCGUUCUACGCAUCGUGCGAACGACGCCCGCCACCGUCUUGGGCUCGUCCCAUGCGGGCGGCGGGGUCGGUGAGGAAUGCUACCUGGUUGAUCCUGC
rnacentral:misc_RNA from 1 species